UCAAUGCUUUUGUUUUUAAAGCCAGGACCGGAAGUGUCGCAGCUAUCCCUGCUAGCUCGAUGCCUGCUAGCUUUAUGACAAUUAAUAUUGGGAGCGACCUUACGCGGCCUUUACCGGACGGCCUCAAAUAAACGGCAUAUAAUCCCGGUGGGGGUGUGUGUGUGUGUGUGUGUGUGUGUCUGUGUGCGGGGCGGGCCGCCGGUGAGAGACACGUGUCUGAGUGUGUAGCGACGAUAAGCUUUACUGGGUCAGGAGUUUUCUGGUGUGUUUUACUGCCACGGAGGGAAUAAAUUCAGCGAGUCAAAGCGUCUCCUGACGUCUUUACUGCGGAAACAAACCUGAGACUGAUCUGAUCUGUCCGCCAGCCAAACAGACGAGGAUGAGCUCAGACAGACGGCCAGAGAAAAUCAUUUGGACCGCCUCAAGAGCCUGACGGGGAGAGAGUGUGUGAGUAUUUAAUGUCUUAAUGUCAUUAAAUCUACCUGUAGACUCCACUCAGGACCUCAGGGGGCCCGAAGGAUCCAGGUUCUAUGUAUGUGAUACAUAAUGUACUAUACAACAUAUACUGAAGCAUUUUUACCUUGUAUAAGAGACCAUAAAUUCAAGUUUAAAAGCCUUUAUUAUCUCUGUUUAUCUUAUUCUGAAAUACAUUUUGUGGUUACUGGUAAUUAAGCUGGCACCAACUAAUUGGGGACUGUUUGAGAAGGCACAGAGAGCGAGAGACAGCUGACUUUGCCUCAGGGCGAAUAUAAAAAUACAGGAUUAAUCCGGACGUGAAGGUUCUUCGUGAAUGUGCAGAAAUAUAUGCAGAUGGAUCAAAGAUAGAAAUCUACUUUUAAGACAUUUCAGCUGUUAUUGUGUUGUUAGACUGAUAUAUUCCUAAAAUUAAACCAAUUAAUACGAAUAUUUCAGGUUGAUUUAGCAGGUUGUUGCUGUUAGAGGAGCGUUUACUAUUAUUAUUAUUACAGUAGACAGAGAUUAGAUUAGAUUGAUAUUAGAGGAUUACACAAUACCCACAAGUAUGUUCAAUAAAAAUAUGUUUUAAUGUUAAAACUUCUUGCUUUUUACAGCAUCUGUCCCUUGCGGACUGCAUUAUUGUUUAUAAAAUAAAGGUUAAUCCUUAUGGACACUGGUCUGACUCACCAUACAGUGAACCUGGGGGCCUUGUGGUAACCCAGGUGUACUGUACACAGGGGGCUUUGUAGAGUCCCAGCUGCUCAUUUGUGACACAGAUUACUCUCAGAAUCAUUAAAAAAGAGGUGUAACACAAGCUUCCUGUAACAAUAUACAGUAUGUUUGAUUAAUGUCAACGUGUUACAGCCCCCGAAGGCAAACUGUCAUAUUUUUGUUUUACAGGUCCGAGUCAAGUCUAAGCUUCAGACACUAGCAGCACUUACGCUUCAGUUACUGUUGGACAUGAAUCAAACUUUAAAGUCAGUUUUACUUGUUGCACAAACGGAUGUUACUGCCUAAGAAUCAAUCAAUAUCUGCUCCCCUCGUCACAGGCUGCAAAUGUCUGAGUUUCAACAGUUUUUAGAGGCCUUGAAACUUCAUAAUACAGGAAGCUAAAUUUGAGAAAAAUAAGAAAUAAGUGAGAUAAUUUGUGUAGCAGAUACACUUCUUCCUUCCUAUCUUCUUCAUCCUGAUCCACCCGGUUGGGAAAACCUCUGUAAAAGUUAAGUUUCCUUCAGUUAGAGUUUCACAAACAGCUACUGUUGAUAGUGUUUUUCUCUAGGCCACCUGUCUCCACAUACAACACAACUGAACUGUGAACUCAUUUACCCAUUUCUCUGUUUAGCAGGUUUGUUUCUUCUGAUCUAAACUCCUGUUUCUCCUCCGGCCCUGCGACAGGUGAAGUCUGCUGAGACAAGUUGAAACCUGCUCUCUAACUGCUGUGGACACAGUACUGUUGCAAAGCUUGGAAAAGCAGAAAAUGUAGUAAGAGCGAAUAAGGCAGAUACAUUUUUAAAGAGCGAUUUACAAAGUAACUCCUAGUGGUCUCUGUUUACCAACAUCUGGAGACCUAAAUAUGGAUGAAAAUAGUGAAGUAAUUAUUGGUAGAGCUACAACUAACAAUAAAUAUGUUAAUUUAAUCAACGUUUGAACCGUUUUGUCCAUAAAAUGUCAUAAAACAGUGGAAAAUAGGUGGGUAGUAACUUGUUAAAAGUAACACAGUUAGUUAAAUAGCUAGCUUUCAUGGUCCUUUUUGAUACUGUACUCUUUAUUGAAAUAUUAUUUGUGCCAGUAAUCUCCUUUUUUUCCAUUCAUACCUUUGUUACAACUGGUCUGUUAUCUACUCUGCAUUUUGCUGCAUUAACCGUAAGAAGCUGUGAUUCCAGCUGUGUGUGCACAGUUACACAGGAGAGCUUUAACCCUCCUCUACUGCAGUACAAAGAGAGUAAAGAGAGCAAAUGCCUUUUAAAUUUAAGGUUUGGUUGUUCUAAUAUAACUGUAUGCUAUGUCACCGGUGGCCAUGUUGGAAAGCAGCCUGCAGAAAUAGUUUAACUUUCCAUUAAUGGCGUAUUAAACCCUUAUUAUUAUUUAGUCUAUGCAGAACACACUGUAUAAAAAUCUAAAGCAGACGAUCAUUAAUUCUGAUAUAAUAACUCUUGUUGUGCAGAUCAGGGCUUUCUUUUGAUGGAAAUUAUUGUAUUUAAUUGGUCUAAUUCUCAUUGAUUGCUAUUUGUUUUGUGGCGAUGUUUGAACUUUAAACUUUACUUGGAUUUGGCAUAAAGUGAUUGGGAAGAACAAAUGGGCUGUUUUUGGAUGUCUAUCUUGUGUUAAUGUUGUGUUUGUGUAUGUAUGAGACUGUGUACAGACUGUGGCAAAACAUUUCCUGGAAAGAACAAUAAAGGAUCAAUUUAUCUACUCAAA